GGCUUGAGGACCGUAUUCAUGGAAGAGGAUUGAACAGUAAAGAGCCCAGGAUUUGAUAAAAAUGAGAAUAUAUCGCCUCAAGCAGAAGCAGAUGAAUAUAUGGGAGAUGAAGUAGACAGUAUGUUGGAUAAAUCUGGAGUAAAGAACCCAGCAAUUGGUGAAGAUGAGAAUAUGUCGCCUCAAGUAAAAGGAGAUGAAGACAUGGGAGAUGAAAUUGACAGUAUGUUGGCUACAUCUGGAGGUCUUUUCUCCUGAGAACACGGGACUCCAGCAUCUUCGGAUUCUGCUCUUGGAGGGGUUUGCCCCACAUCCUCUAUAUUGCAGAAAACAAGACUAGGCUCUACCUCUGUAGAUCAAGCACGACUGAAAUCCGUGCUCUCAAAAGAUGCUGGGGAGAAAGAGUGCCAUUCUUCACAAAUGCUGAUGUGUGCAGCUGAACAGAGCGUUGAGGAAACGUCAGUGAUUUUAUAACUACUUAUCAUGUUGGGAGAUUGUUGUGAUGAUUGCCUGGACUCUCAGAUGUUACACAGGCUGCAUCAUUGGACUGAAAGUGAAUGGCCCAUGUGUUGCCACUGAUGUGAGCCAUUUGCAAGCC
rnacentral:precursor_RNA from 1 species